GAUGAAGAACGUAGCGAAAUGCGAUAAGUAAUGUGAAUUGCAGAAUUCAGUGAAUCAUCGAAUCUUUGAACGCACAUUGCGCCCGCCAGUAUUCUGGCGGGCAUGCCUGUUCGAGCGUCAUUACAACCCUCAGGCCCCCGGGCCUGGCGUUGGGGAUCGGCGGAAGCCCCCUGUGGGCACACGCCGUCCCUCAAAUACAGUGGCGGUCCCGCCGCAGCUUCCAUUGCGUAGUAGCUAACACCUCGCAACUGGAGAGCGGCGCGGCCAUGCCGUAAAACACCCAACUUCUGAAUGUUGACCUCGAAUCAGGUAGGAAUACCCGCUGAACUUAAGCAUAUCAAUAAGCGGGGGA
rnacentral:misc_RNA from 1 species